rnacentral:rRNA from 1 species
AGUGAACGCUGGCGGUAGGCCUAACACAUGCUAGUCGAACGGCAGCACAGUAAGAGCUUGCUCUUACGGGUGGCGAGUGGCGGACGGGUGAGGAAUACAUCGGAAUCUACUUUUUCGUGGGGGAUAACGUAGGGAAACUUACGCUAAUACCGCAUACGACCUACGGGUGAAAGCAGGGGAUCUUCGGACCUUGCGCGAUUGAAUGAGCCGAUGUCGGAUUAGCUAGUUGGCGGGGUAAAGGCCCACCAAGGCGACGAUCCGUAGCUGGUCUGAGAGGAGGAUCAGCCACACUGGAACUGAGACACGGUCCAGACUCCUACGGGAGGCAGCAGUGGGGAAUAUUGGACAAUGGGCGCAAGCCUGAUCCAGCCAUACCGCGUGGGUGAAGAAGGCCUUCGGGUUGUAAUGCCCUUUUGUUGGGAAAGAAAAGCAGCAGGUUAAUACCCCGCUGUUCUGACGGUACCCAAAGAAUAAGCACCGGCUAACUUCGUG